AGGAUGAAAGCGGGGGACCUUCGGGCCUCGCGCUAUAGGGUUGGCCGAUGGCUGAUUAGCUAGUUGGUGGGGUAAAGGCCUACCAAGGCGACGAUCAGUAGCUGGUCUGAGAGGACGACCAGCCACACUGGGACUGAGACACGGCCCAGACUCCUACGGGAGGCAGCAGUGGGGAAUUUUGGACAAUGGGCGCAAGCCUGAUCCAGCAAUGCCGCGUGUGUGAAGAAGGCCUUCGGGUUGUAAAGCACUUUUGUCCGGAAAGAAAUCAUUCUGGCUAAUACCCGGAGUGGAUGACGGUACCGGAAGAAUAAGCACCGGCUAACUACGUGCCAGCAGCCGCGGUAAUACGUAGGGUGCGAGCGUUAAUCGGAAUUACUGGGCGUAAAGCGUGCGCAGGCGGUUUGCUAAGACCGAUGUGAAAUCCCCGGGCUCAACCUGGGAACUGCAUUGGUGACUGGCAGGCUAGAGUAUGGCAGAGGGGGG
rnacentral:rRNA from 1 species